GCAACCUCGAACUGGAUCAAACCACUCAGGAAGUCACAUAUCAGAGAGAUCUACUACAUGCUAUGUGUGAGCCAAUUGCAGGUUUUGAGCGUGUGUAGACACAGCAGCCGGUGUUUCUGAAGGGCUAGGAGGAACAAAACAUGUCUGAGGAGCUAACCCAGAAAAUGCAUUUCUGUUUCUCUCCAUUGGCCUUACCCUGCUGGAGUCAAUGGCCACUCAACGUCAGCCCAUUGAAGGAGUUCACCCUAAAUGACUGUCUUACAACCAUGUUUUCAAUGGGGAUGCAUGUUUUUGUAUGAGUGCCUUGCUUUCCUCUGUCACUGCUGGAGAAGGCUGGGUAAUCGGCUCAGACGUGGUGCCUCACACCUGGAAAGCUUCAGUGGGGAGGCAGGAGUCCCUCCAAGGAUGUGCUGCUCUCCAUCACUCCCGGCCCAAUUCAGCAUCUCACACAAAAUACAAUGUGAACAGCCUCACAGCCUGGUGUCCCUCUUACUAUGCUUUGCCCUGCAGAAUCAGGGCUAGGAGAUUCAAUCUCUGCAUCCAUUCAAGCCAAUUACUGCCAGUUACUAAUUGUUUUACUAGUACAGACGUGAAACUGUAAUGGAAGCAACAAAUUAAUGUUUUGUAAGCAACUGAACACACAUCGUUUAAUAACUUUUGAUUUCUGCAGACUUGCACAAUAUUAUAACCACUGUUCUUGAGGUGGAAUGUCCUUUAUUGUUAUAAUUGUUGAAUAUGACAUUAGAAAAAAUGUAGUGCAUCAUGUUUUUAUAAAUGGUGACAUUAUCAAUUCAUUUGAUUCAAAUAUACAUGGGUUUGGUUAUAUUUUUAUUGGGAAAAAAAAAAAAAAACCUUACUCAUUUUGUUCCAGUCAGGCUGACUUACAUUCCACCUUCUUUCCAGAAGGCUGGUAAUACCAGAUGGUACAAUUAGUUUUAACCACCCGUAUUUCUUCUCACUGGCUGUAGGAUCAGGAAUGUGAUGUUAGAUGUCAUAAAGUGCUGAGAUAUGCUGGCCUUCAGAUCAGGUGUUGGAACUGAAAUAUCCAUCAGGAGGGCUCAGCACUUGUAACCACAGAAAGGAGGUCAUUUACGAUAUUUUAAAAGCAUUACAACAGUUGAUUUAAUGUUUUUAUGAAUCUUAAACUGUAAAAGCCACAAACCAGAUUGAACAGUGGCUGAAGGCUGUUGACUGGCUUGCUAGAUGGAUUGAACUUCAGUUUAUCCAGCUGUAGGACAAACCAAUUUUAGCUUUGCCAUCUCCAGAGAAAAUACUCUUCCUGUUGUUAUCGUUACUUUAGUAUUACUAACCAUUGAGUGUACACUACCUUAUAAGAGCACUAUGGCAUUUAUUUUCUGAACUCACUGAGAAUAAAUAUUUGAAUAAG